GGGAGGGGGGGUUAGCGUUGUUCGGAAUUACUGGGCGUAAAGCGCACGUAGGGCGGACCAGAAAGUUCGGGGGGGGUGAAAUCCCGGGGGCUCAACCCCCGGAACUGCCUCCAAAACUAUUGGUCUAGAGUUCGAGAGAGGUGAGUGGAAUUCCGAGUGUAGAGGUGAAAUUCGUAGAUAUUCGGAGGAACACCAGUGGCGAAGGCGGCUCACUGGCUCGAUACUGACGCUGAGGUGCGAAAGUGUGGGGAGCAAACAGGAUUAGAUACCCUGGUAGUCCACACCGUAAACGAUGAAUGCCAGUCGUCGGGUUGCAUGCAAUUCGGUGACACACCUAACGGAUUAAGCAUUCCGCCUGGGGAGUACGGUCGCAAGAUUA
rnacentral:rRNA from 1 species